rnacentral:lncRNA from 1 species
UUUUUUUUUUUUUUUUCGAGAUGGAGUCUUAGCUCUGUUACCAGGCUGGAGUGCAGAGGAGACUCUGUCUCAAUAAAAAGAAGAGUUAGUCCCAUGGGUGACAUUCUGAACCUGAUGGUGACUCCCUAAGAGAUUUAGAACCAUUGGAAUAAAGUAGGUUCCUAUAUUAUUUAUGGGGCCUGGGCAAGAUGACAGAGACUCCCUCGUCUCUUCCCAUGCCUGGUGUUGGCCCAUACUUCAAGGUGUCUCACAUUCUAGCCUGCACAUCCAAGCUCAGUCUACAAAUCCCUUACACAAAAUCAGGGUCUAGCGUGUGUGUACAUCAGUCAGAGUCCACUCUCAUGAAU